GACGAACGCUGGCGGCGUGCUUAACACAUGCAAGUCGAACGGAAAGGCCUGCUUUCCCUUGUGGAUUGCGGGUACUCGAGUGGCGAACGGGUGAGUAACACGUGAGUGAUCUGCCCCCAACUUGGGUAUAAGCCUGGGAAACUGGGUCUAAUUCCCGAUAGGACUGCAGGGUGGUGCCUGUGGUGGAAAACGAUUUUCUAGUGGUUGGGGAUGAGCUCGCGGCCUAUCAGCUUGUUGGUGGGGUAAUGGCCUACCAAGGCGGCGACGGGUAGCCGGCCUGAGAGGGUGGACGGCCACAUUGGGACUGAGAUACGGCCCAGACUCCUACGGGAGGCAGCAGUGGGGAAUAUUGCACAAUGGGCGGAAGCCUGAUGCAGCGACGCCGCGUGGGGGAUGACGGCCUUCGGGUUGUAAACUCCUUUCGACCGCGAGGAAGCCACCUGGUUGGAAGGAUGGUGACGGUAGUGGUAGAAGAAGCACCGGCUAACUACGUG
rnacentral:rRNA from 1 species